rnacentral:rRNA from 1 species
AUUGAACGCUGGCGGCAGGCCUAACACAUGCAAGUCGAGCGGAGUGGCGGACGGGCGAGUAAUGCCUAGGAAUCUGCCUGGCCGUGGGGGAUAACGUCCGGAAACGGGCGCUAAUAUCGCAUCCUAUUAGCUGAGCCUAGGUGGGAUUAGCUAGUUGGUGGGGUAAAGGCCUACCAAGGCGACGAUCCGUGACUGGUCUGAGAGGCUGAUCAGUCACACUGGAACUGAGACACGGCCCAGACUCCGACGGGAGGCAGCAGUGGGGAAUAUUGGACAAUGGGCGAAAUCCGGAUCCAGCCAGGCCGCGUGUGUGAAGAAGGUCUGCGGAUUGUAAAGCACUUUAAGUUGGGAGGCGGUACCAACAGAGAAAGCACCGGCUAACUUCGUGCCAGCAGCCGCGGUAAUAC